GACGAACGCUGGCGGCGUGCCUAAUACAUGCAAGUCGAGCGCUGAAGCUUGGUACUUGUACCACCUGUAUGAGCAGCGAACGGGUGAGUAACGCGUGGGGAAUCUACCUUUGAGCGGGGGACAACAUUUGGAAACGAAUGCUAAUACCGCAUAAAAACUUUAAACACAAGUUUUAAGUUUGAAAGAUGCACUUGCAUCACUCAAAGAUUAUCCCGCGUUGUCUUAGCUAGUUGGUGAGGUAAAGGCUCAACAAGGCGAAGGAACAUAACCGACCUGGGGGGGUGGACGGCCCAAUUGGGAAUGAGAACAGGCCCAAACUUCCUAGGGGGGGAGGAGUAAGGAAGUCUUGGGAAUGGACGAAAGGCUGACCGGGCCACGCCGGGUUGGGGAAGAAGGGUUUCGGGUCGUAAAACUCUGUUGGUAGGGGAGAAACUUGGUGAGAGGGGAAAGCUCAUCAAGUGACGGUAACUAAUCAGAAAGGGACGGCUAACUACGUG
rnacentral:rRNA from 1 species